GAUGAAGAACGCAGCGAAAUGCGAUAAGUAAUGUGAAUUGCACAAUUCAGUGAAUCAUCGAAUCUUUGAACGCACAUUGCGCCCGCCAGUAUUCUGGCGGGCAUGCCUGUUCGAGCGUCAUUUCAACCAUCAAGCCCCCGGCUUGUGUUGGGGACCUGCGGCUGCCGCAGGCCCUGAAAACCAGUGGCGGGCUCGCUAGUCACUCCGAGCGUAGUAAUACAUCUCGCUCAGGGCGUGCUGCGGGUUCCGGCCGUUAAAAAGCCUUAUUUACCCAAGGUUGACCUCGGAUCAGGUAGGAAGACCCGCUGAACUUAAGCAUAUCAAUAAGCGGAGGA
rnacentral:misc_RNA from 1 species